UGCCUGAACAAUGCUGUCUACAGAGGGGAAGGGAUCUGCUGGGGAGGAUUUCGUUUGCGCCGGGCUGGGGUUUGCUGCGGUGGGGGCCGAUGGGUGCGAGAGCGUGCGACCUGUCUGUCCGAGUAAUCUCCGCCGCUGCUAGCUGUAGUUCACUGAUCUGCCAGCGGCAGCAUUGGAGGGAGUUAUACUCUGUUUUAGGCCGCCGUCUACACGUCUCUCCACUGCUUCUUCCGGCUGGGAUGCUUUGGCUCUGCGCUUGGUCUUUUUCUGCUUUCUCAGUUGGGUCGCUGCUGGGGCAGCGCGGACAUUGUUGUUGGUCAGAGGAACGAGCGGUCUCCAUCUGGCCCAAGUCCAACCUGGUGACUGGUGUGCGCAGCGACGCGGUGUGACGGCUUUGUACAGAGGGGCAGACGAUUUGGGGACAACUUAAAGAGGUAAGUGGGAGUAGUUUGGGGGCGUUGUGGAUACGGCGCAUCGUUUGUCACUGUUAUUGGAGGAGGUAUGCCGCUAUGAGUGGUGCUGCAGUCCAAUGAGGAGCGCAUCUCCGUUCAUUACUUUCACUGGAGGAGCCCCGCCGCCGCUUGCUAUCGCCAUCUACUGGUUGUGUGCGGUGCUGACCACGACUGGUUCAUGUACCUGCCGAUGGAGCAGGCUCAGUGGUGUCGCUUUGAAGCAUAGUUAUGUCGGGGCAGCCAGCUUUGACGACAUGCUUUGGUCCAGGGCCGUGCUUCUUCAGCUUUGCUCGGUGGCUAUCUUCCAUGUCUCCUUUUAGUGGAUCCUGUUUGUUCUUCUCCCUUUACUUUUUACAUGUUGUCUCUGCUGUUUGUGCUUGUUGUGAAUGUUCUUGUGCCUUGUGGUGCUGGGAUGUAGAGUUUCUUGGUUUACUUGUUGUACUAUUGACUAAAUUUCUUUCUUCCAAAUCAUGUGUGUGCCCAUCUGGAUUGCUUCUCGCUUAGAGAUUCAUGAUGAUAGCUACAUGCUCUAGUUAGGUAGGGUCAGGGUGGCUUCCAGCUUCACUGGGUUUGGCCAUUAGGUGUAGGAUUUAUGGACAUCCUAUAUGAUGAUAUGGCACCCACGGAAAGGGCAGCCAAGAAAGGAAAAGCAAUUGGUGUUGUUGUUGAGAAGCAUUGGGGAAAGUCUGUAUCUUGCUUGAAAUCUCUUAUGACUUAGUUAUUUCAAUUGCUUGCCUGAUAAAAUUUACUACCUGAAGAUCUUGCUUUUGCACUGUGCCUGGUUUAAUGCUCUAUCCAUUUACUUUGCAGGACGUCACGGGCCUUUGCACCAACUUCCACAAAAGCUCUGUCGUUCCCAUUCGAUGCGCCAACCUUGAUCUUGUGAGCAUUCUCAGCAGCAUCCCGGCGACCAGGGCGUCUUUCCCUAUCAAAUGCUUGGGCCUCCCGCUCUCGGUUUGGAGGCUGAAGAAAGUUGACUUCCAAUACCUCCAGGACAAGGCAGCUGGAAAUUUGGUCACCUGGGAUGGGCAGAACAUCACCACCAUUGGGCGCACGGCCCUUGUUCGAUCUGUCAUCACCUCGCAGGCUGUGUACUCCAUCACACCACUCAUUGUCCCUCAGGGUUCCCUUGACAACCUCAACAAGAUUGAGCGAGCUUUUCUUUGGUCCGGCUCUGACAAGACCACCGGUGCCAAAUGUAAAGUCAACUGGGACAUGGUCUGCCGCCCCACCAGCUAUGGGGGUUUGGGUGUUCUUAACACCGACAAAUUUGCUCGUGCUUUGAGGCUCAGAUGGCUUUGGUUUGAAUGGAAAGAGCCGUCCAAGCUCUGGGUUGGCCUGGGCAACCCUUGCAUCGAGGAGGACCGUGAUUUUUUCUACGCCUCCACUUCCAUCAUCGUGGGCAAUGGGGCCAGAACGCCUUUUUGGGACUCCCCCUAGCUGCUUGGCCGCAAGCCGAAGGACAUUGCACCUCUCGUCUUUGAGGCCUCGAGGAGAAAGAACUGGAAGGUGCGAGAGGCUAUUACAGAGAAUGCUUGGAUGCUUACGAUCAGACGAGACAUCACCAUCACUGGCCAGCAUGUGCAGGAAUUUUUCACCCUCUGGAUGCUCAUCCAUGACAUACACCUCGACAUCCACUCUGAGGAUGACAUCAUUUGGAAGCACUCUUCGGAUGGCUCAUAUUCGGUGUCCACCGCAUACAAGGCACAAUUUCUCGGUUUGACGCUUUCUCCCAUGGACUCCAUGGUCUGGAAAAUGUGGGCGCCCCCAAAGGGUGGCGCCUGCUGCAUCAACUGACAUUGGUGACAUCAUAAAAAAAGAUGCUUGAACUAAAAGUAACUUCAACAGUUGUUGCAGUUGAAGAUGAGCAUGGGGGAAUAUGAUGUGACAUGAUGGGUGCACAAAAUCAACCAACCGGUCGAUAUCUGCUACCAUGCCCUUGCUCAGGCUGGAGCCUCAUUGGAAGGGAACACCUACUGAACAAAAUAACUGGUCGUUGACAUUGACAAUCUUCUCUGCCCUUUGCUGAUAAAGAUUCUUUGUAGAAUAUAUUUUGCCCUCAAAGGAACAUCAAUGAAACAUAGAACACGCUAAGGUGGAGAGAAGAAAAGAUUGUUUGGGAACAGAAGAUGGUUGGUAGCUUCU